GAUGAACGCUGGCGGCGUGCCUAAUACAUGCAAGUCGAGCGAACGGACGAGAAGCUUGCUUCUCUGAUGUUAGCGGCGGACGGGUGAGUAACACGUGGAUAACCUACCUAUAUGACUGGGAUAACUUCGGGAAACCGUAUCUAAUACCGGAUAAUAUUUUGAACCUCAUGGUUCAAAAGUGAAAGACGGUCUUGCUGUCACUUAUAGAUGGAUCCGCGCUGCAUUAUCUAGUUGGUAAGGUAACGGCUUACCAAGGCAACGAUGCAUAGCCGACCUGAGAGGGUGAUCGGCCACACUGGAACUGAGACACGGUCCAGACUCCUACGGGAGGCAGCAGUAGGGAAUCUUCCGCAAUGGGCGAAAGCCUGACGGAGCAACGCCGCGUGAGUGAUGAAGGUCUUCGGAUCGUAAAACUCUGUUAUUAGGGAAGAACAUAUGUGUAAGUAACUGUGCACAUCUUGACGGUACCUAAUCAGAAAGCCACGGCUAACCACGUG
rnacentral:rRNA from 1 species